AUAGCUCAGUUGGUAGAGCGGGGGACUGUAGAUUUAUAAUUGUGAUCCCUAGAGGCUGGGUCGAAUCCGGCU
rnacentral:tRNA from 1 species